UGAACGCGCUCGGUCCGUCCCGGUAAGCUGUCCGUCAGCAGCAGCAGCGGCCACGAGCAGCGACUCUUCCGUCAUUAAAGUGAAUUCACGUCAUCAAAUCAUUUUGUUCACGUGCACGUCCGCCGGGGAGCAGCGCAGCUCAGGAUGGAUCUGUCCUCUCUGCUCCAUCAGCUCACCCUCCCUCCUUCAUCAUCAUCAUCAUCAUCAUCAUCACCGCCGGAGAAGCCCCGCCCCCCACAGCUCCCUCCUCCAAUCACAGAGGUCCUGGCUCGGCUGCAGGAGAAGCUGAUUGGUGCAGAGGAUGAAAAAGCCUCGGACGUUCUGAUUGGCCAGGCGGAGCAGCUGUUCCGCACGGCCGAUCCCGAUUGGCUGUUCCGUCCGGACCCGGCCAAUCAGGCGGCGCUCGUCGCCGUGGCCUCCGCUCUGAUUGGCCGCGCCGCUCUGCCGCUCUGCGAGCCGGACGCCCCGCCCCCCGCCUCCGGCUACCGGGACGUCCCGGAGCGAGCGCGCCCGGUGUGCUCGGCGCUCGCCGCCCUGCUGGUCAGACUGGGACGGUGUCAGAGCGAGGCUGGGGGCGGGGCCUCGCGCUCCCUGCUGCACGCUGUGGCCCCGCCCUGCUUCGUGUUCGCUGUCACUCACCUGCAGGUGGCGCCGUGGACGAGCCCGGCCUCCAGACAGGCUGCAGCCGGCCUGCAGGGGGCGCUGCUGAGGGCGGGGCGCUGGAGAGACCCCGCCCACUUCCUGAUGGGGGAUGAAGAGGAGGAGGAGGGGACGAGCAGAGGCAUGCUGGGAGGCGUCCUGGACGUCCUGCAGCCCCAACUCAACAAGGACACGUGGCAGCACUCUGAGGCGGUGAAGUUUGUGUUCUCAUCGACGCUCCUGCAGGUGAGCCGCCCCGCCCUCUCCCCCCACCUGCCCCGCCUCCUCCCCCCCGCCCUCCUGCUCUCAGACCACUACAGACCGGAGAACUGCAUGCUGGGAGUUCGCUGUGUGCACCACAUAGUGCUCAACACGCCUGCAGCAGAGCUCCGUCAGUACAACAGAGCAGAGGUUCUGUACCAGGCCCUGUACAAACACCUGUACACCACUGAGGCCUCCGUCAUACAGCUCGUCCUGUCCUGUCUGCUGGACCUGCUGCUGGUUUUGGAGAAGCCCCCCGCCUCGCUCGCCCCCGCCCGCCCCCCCAGGAAGCCCUGUCGCCAUGACGACGUGCUGCGGCUGCUCCUGACCCACAUGGAGGCGGAGAGCAAGGUGGCGCUGCGGCGCGUCUACGCUGCCGCCCUGCCGCUCUACAUAGACAGGAUGGGCGUGGCCGUGUGCAGACACCUGAGGCGGGUGGAGCGAGUGCUGCUGGGAUACCUGGAGGUCGGAGACCCUCCGGACGAGACGAGCCGAUUGGCCGCUCUGACGGCGCUGCAGAGAACUGUGGAGGCCGCCUGGCCCAGGAUGGCCGGCCGGGUGUGUGUGUUGCUGCGCUGUCUGCUGCGGCUGCUGCUCGACGUUUCCUCCGACUGCGAGCCGACGGCUGCAGCCCGACAGCAGCUGAUGGAGCAGAGCCGAGUGUGUGUCGCCCUGCUGGACCGCUGCGCUCACACACAGCUGCAGUCUCUCCUGCAGCAGGUGGACAGCAGCUGCGUCAGCCCCGACGUGCUCAGCUGCUUGGCGACCGUAACCGUGGAGACACCGAGGUGACGCCGCACACCUGGAACCUCACACACACACACACACACUGCCACUCUGAUGUUGCCAUGGUGACCAGGACCACAGACGGACGGGUCGGAGGGGUUGUGCCUGUGACAUCACAGCGUCCCGGCGACUCAGGACGCCGUUUAAAGUGACUCAGCAAAAUGGCUGCUGCUCGUCUUCAUGACCGUGUUGUGAACGAUUUAAAAAAUCUCCAUGGCAACGAGCCGUUCAGUCUCAAACAAGAUAAAAACCAAAAAUCUGCCGCUGCAGGUUCACAUGUUCCAGGAAGAGGAAAAAAGCAACUAGAGAUUGCCCACCUGUUCGGCUGUGAUCGGUGGUCUGGCUCAUGGACUGAUGUUCCUCAGCCUCAUCGGCACCGGCGUCUCUGUGCUGGUCCUCUGUGACAGACCUCCACCGGUAAAACCUUCAUAGGAACUUCACAGGGAUCCACAACAUCAACGUAUGGAUACAUCGUUUGAGUGAAAGUGUGUGUGAAGGGGUGUGUGUGUGUGUGUGUGUGUGUGUGUGUGUGUGUGCUCGGCUGUAAGCGGCUCUCAAGUGAUGUCACCUGCCCCGGCGGCCAUGUUGGAGGUCAGCCGGCUGUGCUUCCCUUUCAGCACAGGUUUUCUGUUUGUGUCGGUGAGUUCGGUGACAGGCGGCGUCAGAAAAACACCUCACACUGCUCACAGGGAGAGAGAAGAGACCGAACGCAGCAGCGACUUUAAUUCCAAACCUUUCCACAGACACAGGAAACCCUCUGAUGCUGCGCUCUGAUUUGACAGCAGCCUCGUCAAACUGCUUUUAAAAAAACCUGAUAAAUGACAUCCGGAGUUCAACACGUCACUUUUUCCAGAGCUGAUGAUGAAAGCAGCUAACGAGUGAGACAUCUCGCUUCCCUCCCGUCUCUGCUGGCCGCUGCACGCGCUCAGUGGAUCUGCAGGUUCUGGUUUCUGGACGGUUCAGGUGUCUGAUGGACCGACUCUGAUGUUCCUCGUUCUGGCCCAUAAACAGUGGGAUGAUUAAUUUUAAUUUUAAUUUUUUUUUUUUGGUUUGUGUAUGAUCUGUGAACCAGCGACACUUUGUGCAAUAAAUUCAGUUUUUGCUGGCA